AUUGAACGCUGGCGGCAGGCCUAACACAUGCAAGUCGAGCGGAUGACGGGGGCUUGCUCCUGGAUUCAGCGGCGGACGGGUGAGUAAUGCCUAGGAAUCUGCCUGGUAGUGGGGGACAACGUUUCGAAAGGAACGCUAAUACCGCAUACGCCCUACGGGAGAAGGCAGGGGACCUUCGGGCCUCGCGCUAUCAGAUGAGCCUAGGUCGGAUUAGCUAGUUGGUGAGGUAAUGGCUCACCAAGGCGAGGAUCCGUAACUGGUCUGAGAGGAUGAUCAGUCACCCUGGAACUGAGACACGGUCCAGACUCCUACGGGAGGCAGCAGUGGGGAAUAUUGGACAAUGGGCGAAAGCCUGAUCCAGCCAUGCCGCGUGUGUGAAGAAGGUCUUCGGAUUGUAAAGCACUUUAAGUUGGGAGGAAGGGCAGUAAGCGAAUACCUUGCCGUUUUGACGUUACCGACAGAAUAAGCACCGGCUAACUCUGUGCCAGCCGCCGCAGUAA
rnacentral:rRNA from 1 species